CUCUUGCCCAUGAAACGUAGUUUAUUGUUCGAAAGUCAUAAGUCUUGCCUUUAUAAUGUGAUAGUGUCAACUCUUGCUCACGAGAUGUAACUUGAAUGGAAGAAAUCAAAGAAAAGAACAAAAAUAACAAAAUUUCGAAAAAAGAAGAAAAAUAUUUAAAAAAUAAAAUCAAAGAAAAUGUAGAAGUUGAGAGAGAAUAGGAAAAAAAAUAAAGGUUGAUAAAAAUAAAAAAAGAUUAAAUAAAAAUAU
rnacentral:lncRNA from 1 species